CGAGUGUGGCAGUCUUGAUUUUAAGGCUUUGGAUUAAGUAGUUGUUUAAGCUAAGUUAUCUCCCUUUGACCAUAGUUGUAGUUUGUGUCCAGUCAGGUGUAUUGACCUUAGGUCAAUUUGUUCCCUCUAAAAGACUGUGUUCUGAUUGGUUUAGGCAUCAGUGAUCAAUAUCUCACUACCUGGAAAGCUUUGAUACUGUGUACAUGUAUUUGGUAGAGGUUGUUUUAAAUCAGUAAUAUAUUAGUUUUAAAGGAAUGGAAUUAUUAGUCAGAGACCAUUAACCUGAAUCACAGUGUGAUAGAGCAGAUGAGUUGUUGGUGCAGCUGGUGAUGUUUUCUAUAGUGGUGAUGCAUUUAAGUCCACAACUUGGAUGCUUAGUUUACCAACCAAUAAAUUGAUAAAGGUACAAAGAGCUUGUUUCCUACACACGGCCUCCAGAUGGACCUACUCCUCAACCCCCACUAGCAGUUAUACUUCUUUAUAAUUUACAAAAGGACUUUAAGUAAAACUAGCCAAG